GUCAGUGACAGAGGAGCCAGUUCAGUCCUGUCCUUCAGGUCUGUGCCUACAAACCAAUACUUGAUCCGAGUAUUCCAACCUGGGCAAAAACAUCACAAAACACCCAACCCUGCAUUUUAGGAAAAAAAAAAAAAAAAGGAAAAAGGAGGAAGGAAAAAAACAAAGGCAACUGAGAAGACAGGGCAUGUCCAGUCUGGCCUCCCAGAUAAACCUCAAUGCGUUUGUUUCUUUUGGCGCAGCCACUUCCUUUGUAACUUGGAAGGAAUGAAAGUCACAUCACAUUGCAUUCUGUCUGCCCGUGUGAAUUCAACCCCGUUAGGUGAGCCAAACUUAAACACAUUAAAUUCUACAAAUAACCACUUCUGGAAUUAUUAAGAUAGAAAACAAUGGUGGGUACUAACAGAUUCACUCAGGAGUGGGUAGUUAACGGGUUAAUUCAGGUUAUGUGUAGCUCUAGCUGGGAGAAGAAACAGGGCUUGGAGGAGGCAAGACUGUUCAGCAUGAAUUAGAACUGAUUUAUGAGCUUGCUGUAGCACUUGGAAUAGAAAAACUCUUCAGCGCCUUUGAUCCCUCUCACACUACACCAGGGUUCGAUUGAGAAAACAACAGCGCUGACCACCCGUCCUUCUCGAUCCUUGGGGAAAAAACUUUUUUGGACGGUAGAGUCAGAUGAGGCCGCAUUUUCCACCAGGGAACACUAACUGCUGCGGGAAGAUCCCAGCUUCUGGCUAAAGCUGGGGCGGUAGGAGCUGCCGGCCAGCUCGCCAUCUAGUCCCCAGAGCCCGGGCUUUAGGGCGCCCGGAUGCAAACCAGUUUUGCCGCCAAGGAACCCGGACAGGCGCGCCUCCUCCCCGGCCUCGCAAGGAACAGGUUAAGGAGACAUUUCCCACUUUCUCUGCCCGGCCCUGAACGCUCGCCGCCCCUGCCCAGCCGCCCACUGUCUGGCAGCCUGCAAGUCUCCAUUCAGAAGCGGCUCCGUGCUGCCCAGCGAUGGCGCCCUGGCGGCGCGGAAGCCCGCGGCCAAAUGACACGACUUGGGGGCAAAGGAGGACAACAGUUCCCACCAGAUGCAGCUGAUGGAGGGAGGC
rnacentral:lncRNA from 10 species